UACGUAGGGUGCGAGCGUUAAUCGGAAUUACUGGGCGUAAAGCGUGCGCAGGCGGUUUUGUUAGCCAGAUGUGAAAUCCCCGGGCUUAACCUGGGAAUGGCAUUUGGGACUGCAAGGCUGGAGUUUGGCAGAGGAGACUGGAAUUCCCGGUGUAGCAGUGAAAUGCGUAGAUAUCGGGAGGAAUACCGAUGGCGAAGGCAGGUCUCUGGGCUAUAACUGACGCUCAUGCACGAAAGCGUGGGGAGCAAACAGG
rnacentral:rRNA from 1 species